AAAUUAUGCAUUUUAAGUGGUAACUACUUUUUAAAUAACUAAAUAAAACUAUUAUUGUUUGUUUAUAUUAAGACCUAACAUCUACUUGUUUAUGAUAGAUGUUAUAUUGAUCGAAUAGCAAUGUUAUAAUAUUUAUACUUUUAGUGCAGUCAGUGCCAAUCAAAAAUUAUGAGGUUCAAAUAUUUAUAUAAUGGAUCUUCAGUUUUUUUUUAGUGUAAACUAAAAAAUAUUUUCAAAAGUUUAAGUAUUAUUCAUACUCUUAUAUGAUAACCACUAAAGAGAAAAUAAAUUUACUUACCUCUGAUAUGAUAGAUUAUUAUAUUGUAUCAUUUAUUUUCUCUUUAGUAGAAAAGUUUACAUGGUUCGAACAAUAAUAUAGUUAUAUUACAUAGUUAUAUUAUAUUUCUAAAAUCUGUGCAAGUAUUUUUUUUUAUUGUUUAUUAAGUUUUGCGUGUUUAAUUUUAUUUAAUAUUUUAUAAACAGUUCAGUCAGUUGCAACAACAAUUGAAGCAGCAGGAAACAGCCAAGUACACAUGCAACUCCUUUAAAAUUUAGAUUUUCCUAAAAUUAUAAUUAAGUUAAUGGCUAUUUCUGUAAAGAUCAUUCUGCAAAUAAAAACUGUUUUUAAAACUUAUAGUUAUUUUUUAGUAAUCACAAGAUAAACUGCAAACUCUGUACUUUUAAAUAUGAUUCUAAAAUCUCAACAUCUGUCAGAUAUUUACCUAUUAAAUCAUAAUCUAAUUGCUCAGGCUUAUGAAAAGCUAUUUAUAAAAAUGCAACGCUUAAAAAAUAAUGUAAGAUUAAAGGUAAUUCCUGUUAUAUAUAAAAAAUACAUUGAUGAUUGGUUUGAGUCUUUAAAGUUUAAAUUAGUUAAAAGAGAGUUGAAAUUGUUCUGUUUUUAUCUUAUGCUCUUUAUCUAAAAACUAUUGAAAUAUUUAUUGCAUUAUUUUUCAUUUAUUUUAUUAUGUUAUGAAAGACCAACCAAGCUUGAAAUUUUACAGGUCGAAAUAUAUAGUAUGUAUACGUAUAUCAUCCCUCGGAAUAAGGAAAACUAAAGUCAGCAAAAAGAGCUAAAAAACUAGACGACUAAACUUAUUUAAAACACUUUUAACAAGUUUAAUUUCAAGUUAAUGUUAUGUGUGGAUGUACCUUCAACCAAAUCAGUGUUAACAUUUUAGCAAAAUGUCAUAUUGUCAGGCUGUUUGAUUGGAAGAACCAAAGAUUGUUAUGAGGAUUGCAAAAGUUUUAAAUAUCAGAAACUGAAGGAGGCAUUGAUAAUCAGCAGAUAAUAAAAAAAGCAAAAGUACUGAUUAUACAAAUCUCUUAAAGUUAAACGAUCCCUACUUCCACAGCCACCUUGUCUCAAGCAUUCAAUUGCAUUCUAAGAUAUCUUUAUUCAAAUCAAGUGUGACUACUAUACCAAAAGACUGUAAAAUGGACCAAUCAACUAACCCAUCAGUACUUGCAAAGUCUCCUUUUUUGUUAGCUUGAAAAUUGAGUUCUAAAAUACCAUUAUUCACAUAACUACUAUAUCAAAGCACAAACUAAUGGAUUGAUCAAGAAGGGCACUGCAGUUGUCCUGCAGUUAUGCAACUUAUCAACCCAUAACUGCGAUAACUACAAAAAAAGGAUUGUAUGACUUCGGCAUCCGCAAUAUGGUAUCGUGCAUUGGUUCUUAUCUUUCUUAGAAUGGCUCCCUUCCGUAUAGGUGGAAAUAGGAAAGGUUAUGUCUUUUUUUCUAAUUCUUAAGACAAAGAGGCUUAUUCAGUUCAAGCAAAGAUGACAAUGAUCAUCAAGGAGCCGAUCAUGAUGACGAAUACAAUAAUGCAUUUAAUAAUAAAUAAAAUGAUUUUACUUGUAUUUUUGACUUAUAUAAAUAAAAAAUUAUCUGUUUAAUGUUUGAUUUGUUUUUGAGUAUUUAGAUAAUGCGUUCAGCGUUUAACUUUUCUUUACGGUACUUAUUUAUAGAAGCUUAAAUAAAAGAUAAGUUUGAUUCGUUUAUUAGUAUUUUUUAUUUAUUUAUGCUACUUUAAAUAAGCGUCGUAAAAUAAAGUUAAACGUGGCGAAGUUUAAAACGAAAGAUUUAGAUGGAGUUUAAAUAGCGUUUAAAGCGAACCAUUUAGAUACGGUUUAAAUGGAACAUUCGAUUGACUUACGUUCUAAAUCGAAACUAAAUUAAAUCUAAACAUUUAGAACGAACAUUAACUAAACGUUGAUUAAAUGUUCGAAUGCCCGUUGGGAAGAUGCAUGCGUAAAGUGACUCAGAUUCUUCAAGUUCUAAACUUCUAGAGUCAGAAUGAUAUGUAAAACAUAUCAUAAUUGUUUGCACAUUAGAGAAGCAUGGACUGCUAUUAAAGUGCAAAAAUUUGCCAAAUGUUUUUAAUCUGCAAUAUAUAUAGAACUACAAUGCCUAAAAUCUUAAAAAUCUUUAUCUGCAGUGGAUAUCCUGUGGGAAAAGACUUUGAAGAAAAGAGUUUGAAGGUCUUUUUCAGCUCUUGUAAUAAUGUUUUGGAUGAAAUAAUUUCAAAAUGUGUUCAUCUGUUGAAGAAAGCUGGAACUUAUGGAGAUAGAUAAUUUAAAAAAAACAUUAUGAGUAUAGUAAUAAUAGUGUCACAUACAGCAAAUAUCGAUUUGGUUGAAAAGUUGAAAGGCGAUUGUUUAAAGAGAAUAAUAGAAUAAAUAGCUUAAUAGAAUAGCAAAAAAACUACUUCAUUA